rnacentral:rRNA from 1 species
AAGACCUCUCUUACUCUUGCAUCCUGAGAUAGGACGUCCCCUUCGGGGGCAGAGUGACAGGUGGUGCAUGGUUGUCGUCAGCUCGUGUCGUGAGAUGUUGGGUUAAGUCCCGCAACGAGCGCAACCCUUGAUCUUAGUUGCCAGCAUUCAGUUGGGCACUUUAAGGUGACUGCCGGUGACAAACCGGAGGAAGGUGGGGAUGACGUCAAAUCAUCAUGCCCCUUAUGACCUGGGCUACACACGUGCUACAAUGGACAGAACAAAGGGCAGCGAAACCGCGAGGUUAAGCCAAUCCCACAAAUCUGUUCUCAGUUCGGAUCGCAGUCUGCAACUCGACUGCGUGAAGCUGGAAUCGCUAGUAAUCGCGGAUCAGCAUGCCGCGGUGAAUACGUUCCCGGGCCUUGUACACACCGCCCGUCACACCACGAGAGUUUGUAACACCCGAAGUCGGUGAGGUAACCUUUUAGGAGCCAGCCGCCGAAGGUGGGACAGAUGAUGGGUU